rnacentral:ncRNA from 1 species
GUAUAGGCUGUGAUAGGGAAAAGUAUUAUAGAAUACAAUUUUAAGAGAGAAAAUGUCAUCGGCUGUAAGCAUUUUUAAAUAUGACUAUAAGAAAAACUACCCAGGAGCUAUGAUUCAGUAACUUAUUAAAAGUGAAAUAUCAUCGGUGAAAAUCGAUAAAACGUAAGAGAAGAAUUGAAUUUUUUAAUUCAAUUUGGGUGGAACCACGGAUAAUUAGCAUUCGUCCCAAGU